AAAAGUGCUCCGAACAGCUUUUCUCCAUCAAAAAGGAAAGCUUCCAUUUACCGCUGGGCCCGUUCCAAGGGAAAGUGUAGAGCCCGGCCAAAAUCUGCGGACAGCUACUGAUGAGAUCGGCCGAGUCCAAAAAUGUGAGCGCAAUAAAACAACGGCAUGAGGAAAAGCUGGACGUCCUCCUGGGCCGCAUUAGCGAGAUUUAAAUGUGGAUGUGCAGUGGAUUGUGGGAGAUUUGCAAUGUCAACACAAACAAUCUUCUGCCAAGACUUCUUACAGGGU
rnacentral:lncRNA from 1 species